CUGCCAGACUCCUACGGGAGGCAGCAGUGGGGGAUAUUGCACAAUGGGGGGAACCCUGAUGCAGCGACGCCGCGUGGGUGAAGGAGCGUUUCGGCGCGUAAAGCCCUAUCGGCAGGGAAGAAGGAGGACGGUACCUGACUAAGAAGCCCCGGCUAACUACGUGCCAGCAGCCGCGGGAAUACGUAGGUGGCAAGCGUUGUCCGGAUUUACUGGGUGUAAAGGGCGUGUAGCCGGGCCGGCAAGUCAGAUGUGAAAUCCCAAGGCUCAACCUUGGAACUGCAUUUGAAACUGUUGGUCUUGAGUAUCGGAGAGGCAGGCGGAAUUCCUAGUGUAGCGGUGAAAUGCGUAGAUAUCAGGAGGAACACCGGUGGCGAAGGCGGCCUGCUGGACUGCAACUGACGUUGAGGCCCGAAAGCGUGGGGAGCAAACAGGAUUAGAUACCCCGGUA
rnacentral:rRNA from 1 species